ACCGAUUUGCUUGACGAGGGCUUCCGCGAGGGGUAGAUUAUUUUCUUGGACGGCUUCGGCGCAGGCCAUUAGGAGAUGAACCAGUCGGAUUCCAUUCUCUUGUGAGUCAACCAGGACUACAGAACAAGUUGACUCAGUUGAAACACCGAAGGAACCGGUAGCAGUAGGACCACCACCAAUAUUUGAAGACGAUGAUGAUGCAGCUGCUGCUGGGUAUAGGUGGUCUGUGGCUGUGGGUUUGAACCGCUUGGGAUCUCGAGAUGAGAAAGAGGAGGAAUCAAUUUGACGAGGUUGAGCAAAAACGGCCUUACCAGGAAUAGCUUUGAUAUCGUAAUCAGAAGAUGAAGAUUCUUGAAACACCACUCCACGACUGUGCUUGUUUGUUUUUU
rnacentral:misc_RNA from 1 species